rnacentral:rRNA from 1 species
CGGNGGAAGGCGCAUGCCUUUCCGCCAAAGGAGGCGACUCCGGUGCCGGCUGGGCACGCGUGACAUUAGCUAGUUGGCGGGGCGACGGCCCACCAAGGCGACGAUGUCUAGGGGUUCUGAGAGGAAGGUCCCCCACACUGGUACUGAGACACGGACCAGACUCCUACGGGAGGCAGCAG